rnacentral:misc_RNA from 1 species
GUGAAUCAUCAAAUCUUUGAACGCAAAUUGCACUCUCCUCGGAGAGUAUGCCUGUUUGAGGGUCAGCCUAUAUAAAAUCUAAAUCGUUGCUGUUUCGCGGUGACGCUCGUCGGAAAUUGGGUCAUCUUAUAUCUAUUUUGUUUUAAGCGACUUAAAAUUUUCUUUUUGGUUCCAUGAACGUGUCUAAGAUUUAUUUCUUUACACGUUCAAGGGUAUCGAUUUUUAUUAGACGUGACCAUCAUGUCCGAUCGCGUCCAUAAUCUUUCAUUUACUGACCUCAGACAGGUA